GGCCGAACUGUAAGUGCUACAUUCCACCUUAUCCUCUUCAUUACGCUUAUUCUCCAAAAUUGCAAAGGUGUUUUGUGUUGCUACUUUGUCUGCAUCUGCAUCCAUAUUCUUGCAGUCCCAACUUCAUGAUAUUCCUUCCUCAAUUCCUCCCUGUAUUGUUUCUCCAAUUCUGGAUGUAGAGCCCUACAAUCAGCUUCCCCAUGGCCUUGAAGUUUUCCAAUGCUUGCAAUAUUUAGGAAGGUCUUGUUCUGUUUGUUGUUGCCAGAUCUACAACUAGUGGUUUCCCAACAGCUGAAGCCAUUGAGAAAACUGUUUCUCUUGCAAAGAAAUUCGGAGGCAACUCUGGAAAACUAAUCCAUGCCUACAAACAUCGGGGUUUCCUCCUUUGGAUUAAACCAAGGAUCCCAGAUUAAUGGUCGCAUCUGACAAUAUCUAUCAUGUAUCUUUAAAUAAUAAGCAGGGGUAGACAUCAUCCUUACAUAGUCUUCUAGCAAAUUGAGACGAAUUAAUAUGUGUCUCUCUUCUAUCAAUCCAAUUGUACAAGGACCUUUAAUCCCACAUUGUGCUGGUACAGCAGUCCUUAAUUCCUUUAUGUCAAUGUUAUCAUACGAAAACUUACCAAGAA